GACGAACGCUGGCGGCGUGCUUAACACAUGCAAGUCGAACGGAAAGGCCCUGCUUUUGUGGGGUGCUCGAGUGGCGAACGGGUGAGUAACACGUUAGUAACCUGCCCUUGACUUUGGGAUAACUUCAGGAAACUGGGGCUAAUACCGGAUAGGAGCUCCUGCUGCAUGGUGGGGGUUGGAAAGUUUCGGCGGUUGGGGAUGGACUCGCGGCUUAUCAGCUUGUUGGUGGGGUAGUGGCUUACCAAGGCUUUGACGGGUAGCCGGCCUGAGAGGGUGUCCGGCCACAGUGGGACUGAGAUACGGCCCAGACUCCUACGGGAGGCAGCAGUGGGGAAUAUUGCACAAUGGGCGGAAGCCUGAUGCAGCAACGCCGCGUGCGGGAUGACGGCCUUCGGGUUGUAAACCGCUUUCGCCUGUGACGAAGCGUGAGUGACGGUAAUGGGUAAAGAAGCACCGGCUAACUACGUG
rnacentral:rRNA from 1 species